rnacentral:rRNA from 1 species
UACGUAGGGGGCAAGCGUUGUCCGGAAUUAUUGGGCGUAAAGAGCUCGUAGGCGGUGUGUCGCGUCGGCCGUGAAAACCUGCAGCUUAACUGUGGGCUUGCGGUCGAUACGGGCAUCACUGGAGUUCGGCAGGGGAGACUGGAAUUCCUGGUGUAGCGGUGAAAUGCGCAGAUAUCAGGAGGAACACCGGUGGCAAAGGCGGGUCUCUGGGCCGAUACUGACGCUGAGGAGCGAAAGCGUGGGGAGCGAACAGG